rnacentral:hammerhead_ribozyme from 1 species
AUCCAGCUUAUGUGUCCGAAAUAGGACGAAACGAGCGUCACACUGUAU